GGUUCGUUGUUGUGAGUGGGUUGUGUGACAUGGGUUGUAUCCAUGUAUGUAUAUAUGAUUCAUUGUGAAAACGUUUUUUCUUUGUACUUUGGAUUAAGAAGUGUUGCUUGUGUGUUUUGGUGUUGAGCAAUUGGUGUAGUUGGAUAGGUUUUUCAAUCAAUCACUUUUUUCAUGGAGUCUAAUGCGUUUCUUUUAGAACAAAUAUAAUCAAUGUUUUUAUUGCAUUUUUAUGGGUAGUUGAAAUGAAAAUUUUGUUCAGUAUUUUGAUUUUUACAUUUUUUUUG
rnacentral:lncRNA from 1 species